UACAGAGGGGGCAAGCGUUUAUUCGGAAUUAUUGGGCGUAAAGGGCGCGUAGGCGGCCUGGCAAGUGGAAGGUGAAAUCCCUCGGCUUAACCGAGGAACUGCCUCCCAAACUGCUUGGCUUGAGACCGGGAGAGGUGAGUGGAAUUCCCAGUGUAGCGGUGAAAUGCGUAGAUAUCUGGAGGAACACCGGUGGCGAAGGCGGCGUCCUGGACCAACACUGACACUGAGGAGCGAAAGCCAGGGGAGCAAACGGG
rnacentral:rRNA from 1 species